rnacentral:rRNA from 1 species
UACGAAGGGGGCUAGCGUUGCUCGGAAUGACUGGGCGUAAAGGGCGCGUAGGCGGGUGGCUUUGUCGGGCGUGAAAUUCCAGGGCUUAACCUUGGGGCUGCGUUCGAGACGGGUUGUCUUGAGUUCGGAAGAGGGUCGUGGAAUUCCCAGUGUAGAGGUGAAAUUCGUAGAUAUUGGGAAGAACACCGGUGGCGAAGGCGGCGACCUGGUCCGAGACUGACGCUGAGGCGCGAAAGCGUGGGGAGCGAACAGG